rnacentral:rRNA from 1 species
UGAAAUCUCACCAGGCCCGGACACUGGAAGGAUUGACAGAUUGAUAGCUCUUUCUCGAUUCGGUGGGUGGUGGUGCAUGGCCGUUCUUAGUUGGUGGAGCGAUCUGUCUGGUUAAUUCCGAUAACGAACGAGACCCCAACCUGCUAACUAGCCCUCGGGUCCUGCUUCUGUUGGGCCCGACGGAAUGAUUCGCUUCUUAGAGGGACUCGCGGCGCCUAGCCGCACGAAGGGGGGCGAUAA